rnacentral:rRNA from 1 species
AGACCCGAAACCCGGUGAUCUAGCCAUGGGCAGGUUGAAGGUUGGGUAACACUAACUGGAGGACCGAACCGACUAAUGUUGAAAAAUUAGCGGAUGACCUGUGGCUGGGGGUGAAAGGCCAAUCAAACCGGGAGAUAGCUGGUUCUCCCCGAAAGCUAUUUAGGUAGCGCCUCGUGAAUUCAUCUCCGGGGGUAGAGCACUGUUUCGGCUAGGGGGCCAUCCCGGCUUACCAACCCGAUGCAAACUGCGAAUACCGGAGAAUGUUAUCACGGGAGACACACGGCGGGUGCUAACGUCCGUCGUGAAGAGGGAAACAACCCAGACCGCCAGCUAAGGUCCCAAAGUCAUGGUUAAGUGGGAAACGAUGUGGGAAGGCCCAGACAGCCAGGAUGUUGGCUUAGAAGCAGCCAUCAUUUAAAGAAAGCGUAAUAGCUCACUGGUCGAGUCGGCCUGCGCGGAAGAUGUAACGGGGCUAAACCAUGCACCGAAGCUGCGGCAGCGACACUGUGUGUUGUUGGGUAGGGGAGCGUUCUGUAAGCCUGCGAAGGUGGCCUGUGAGGGUUGCUGGAGGUAUCAGAAGUGCGAAUGCUGACAUAAGUAACGAUAAAGCGGGUGAAAAGCCCGCUCGCCGGAAGACCAAGGGUUCCUGUCCA